rnacentral:rRNA from 1 species
GAUGAACGCUGGCGGCGUGCCUAAUACAUGCAAGUCGAACGAGUUCUCGUUGAUGAUCGGUGCUUGCACCGAGAUUCAACAUGGAACGAGUGGCGGACGGGUGAGUAACACGUGGGUAACCUGCCCUUAAGUGGGGGAUAACAUUUGGAAACAGAUGCUAAUACCGCAUAGAUCCAAGAACCGCAUGGUUCUUGGCUGAAAGAUGGCGUAAGCUAUCGCUUUUGGAUGGACCCGCGGCGUAUUAGCUAGUUGGUGAGGUAAUGGCUCACCAAGGCGAUGAUACGUAGCCGAACUGAGAGGUUGAUCGGCCACAUUGGGACUGAGACACGGCCCAAACUCCUACGGGAGGCAGCAGUAGGGAAUCUUCCACAAUGGACGCAAGUCUGAUGGAGCAACGCCGCGUGAGUGAAGAAGGCUUUCGGGUCGUAAAACUCUGUUGUUGGAGAAGAAUGGUCGGCAGAGUAACUGUUGUCGGCGUGACGGUAUCCAACCAGAAAGCCACGGCUAACUACGUGCCAGCAGCCGCGGUAAUACGUAGGUGGCAAGCGUUAUCCGGAUUUAUUGGGCGUAAAGCGAGCGCAGGCGGUUUUUUAAGUCUGAUGUGAAAGCCCUCGGCUUAACCGAGG